rnacentral:lncRNA from 1 species
GCUCAUCUCUUCAUUUCUCGCCUUUAUUAGUAAAGAGUUGAGGAUUGAAAUGCUUUAUUGUAAGAGAGGGAGGAAGGAAAAAAUUUACGUGAUAUAAAGUGAAACAGAGGUGGAUUCAACCUUUGGCCAGGGAUUCAUUCCUUCUCCUUCGACAAAAAAAUAUACUAUUUAUACAUGAUUAAAAUUAUGUUUUAUGUAUUUAUAACAGAUGUUGAACCUUGUUCGACUAGAUUUUCUUCAAAUAUUGAACUCCCUUAGUUUAAAUCCUGUUCCAUCUCUUAUAAUGACUUAAAUCCAUUAAUUA